AUUGAACGCUGGCGGCAUGCCUUACACAUGCAAGUCGAACGGCAGCACGAGGGCAACCCUGGUGGCGAGUGGCGAACGGGUGAGUAAUACAUCGGAACGUGCCCCGUAGCGGGGGACAACCAGUCGAAAGACUGGCUAAUACCGCAUACGCUCCACGGAGGAAAGCGGGGGACCGCAAGGCCUCGCGCUAUUGGAGCGGCCGAUGUCCGAUUAGCUUGUUGGCGGGGUAAGAGCCCACCAAGGCGACGAUCGGUAGCUGGUCUGAGAGGAUGAUCAGCCACACUGGGACUGAGACACGGCCCAGACUCCUACGGGAGGCAGCAGUGGGGAAUUUUGGACAAUGGGGGCAACCCUGAUCCAGCCAUGCCGCGUGCGGGAAGAAGGCCU
rnacentral:rRNA from 1 species